AUUGAACGCUGGCGGCAGGCCUAACACAUGCAAGUCGAGCGGAUGAAGGGAGCUUGCUCCUGGAUUCAGCGGCGGACGGGUGAGUAAUGCCUAGGAAUCUGCUUGGUAGUGGGGGAUAACGUCCGGAAACGGGCGCUAAUACCGCAUACGUCCUGAGGGAGAAAGUGGGGGAUCUUCGGACCUCACGCUAUCAGAUGAGCCUAGGUCGGAUUAGCUAGUUGGUGGGGUAAAGGCCUACCAAGGCGACGAUCCGUAACUGGUCUGAGAGGAUGAUCAGUCACACUGGAACUGAGACACGGUCCAGACUCCUACGGGAGGCAGCAGAGGGGAAUAUUGGACAAUGGGCGAAAGCCUGAUCCAGCCAUGCCGCGUGUGUGAAGAAGGUCUUCGGAUUGUAAAGCACUUUAAGUUGGGAGGAAGGGCAGUAAGUUAAUACCUUGCUGUUUUGACGUUACCAACAGAAUAAGCACCGGCUAACUUCGUG
rnacentral:rRNA from 1 species